rnacentral:rRNA from 1 species
UUGAACGCUGGCGGCAUGCCUUACACAUGCAAGUCGAACGGUAACAGGUCUUCGGAUGCUGACGAGUGGCGAACGGGUGAGUAAUACAUCGGAACGUGCCCGAUCGUGGGGGAUAACGCAGCGAAAGCUGUGCUAAUACCGCAUACGAUCUACGGAUGAAAGCAGGGGAUCGCAAGACCUUGCGCUUUAGGAGCGGCCGAUGUCGGAUUAGCUAGUUGGUGGGGUAAAGGCUCACCAAGGCGACGAUCCGUAGCGGGUCUGAGAGGAUGAUCCGCCACACUGGGACUGAGACACGGCCCAGACUCCUACGGGAGGCAGCAGUGGGGAAUUUUGGACAAUGGGCGAAAGCCUGAUCCAGCCAUGCCGCGUGAGUGAAGAAGGCCUUCGGGUUGUAAAGCUCUUUCGGCGGGGAAGAAAUCGCAUUCUCUAAUACAGGAUGUGGAUGACGGUACCCGAAUAAGAAGCACUGGCUAACUACGU